AUUGAACGCUAGCGGCAUGCCUAACACAUGCAAGUCGAACGGAGCGGCGGACGGGUGAGUAAUGCCUCGGAAUGUGCCUAGUAGCGGGGGAUAACGUCGGGAAAGGGGCGCUAAUACCGCAUACUAUUGGAUCGGCCUAGGUCGGAUUAGCUAGUUGGUGGGGUAAAGGCCUACCAAGGCGACGAUCCGUAACUGGUCUGAGAGGAUGACCAGUCACACUGGAACUGAGACACGGUCCAGACUCCUACGGGAGGCAGCAGUGGGGAAUUUUGGACAAUGGGGGAAACCCUGAUCCAGCCAUGCCGCGUGUGUGAAGAAGGCCUUCGGGUUGUAAAGCACUUUAAGUUGGGAGGCGGUACCAGCAGAAUAAGCACCGGCUAACUACGUGCCAGCAGCCGCGGUAAUAC
rnacentral:rRNA from 1 species